GUAGGUGGCAAGCGUUGUUCGGAAUUAUUGGGCGUAAAGCGCGCGCAGGCGGUUCUUUAAGUCUGAUGUGAAAGCCCACGGCUCAACCGUGGAGGGUCAUUGGAAACUGGAGAACUUGAGUACAGAAGAGGAAAGCGGAAUUCCACGUGUAGCGGUGAAAUGCGUAGAGAUGUGGAGGAACACCAGUGGCGAAGGCGGCUUUCUGGUCUGUAACUGACGCUGAGGCGCGAAAGCGUGGGGAGCAAACAGGAUUAGAUACCCUGGUAGCCCACGCCGUAAACGAUGAGUGCUAAGUGUUAGGGGGGUUUCCGCCCCCCUUAGUGCUGCAGCUAACGCAUUAAGCACUCCGCCUGGGAGUACGGCCGCAAGGCUG
rnacentral:rRNA from 1 species